UUCUUAUCAAGAGAGAUCGAGGGAAAGGCCCUAUGACGUCUCGGCAACAGAUUCUAUAUUAGAAAACUGUGCCAACUCCUACAAAUGCUUAGGCAUUUGAAAGAUGAGAA
rfam:Bacillus alcalophilus ATCC 27647 = CGMCC 1.3604 strain AV1934 contig00027, whole genome shotgun sequence.